UACGUAGGGCGCAAGCGUUGUCCGGAAUUAUUGGGCGUAAAGAGCUCGUAGGCGGUUUGUCGUGUCUGCUGUGAAAACUCGAGGCUCAACCUCGGGCUUGCAGUGGGUACGGGCAGACUAGAGUGCGGUAGGGGUGACUGGAAUUCCUGGUGUAGCGGUGGAAUGCGCAGAUAUCAGGAGGAACACCGAUGGCGAAGGCAGGUCACUGGGCCGCAACUGACGCUGAGGAGCGAAAGCAUGGGGAGCGAACAGG
rnacentral:rRNA from 1 species